CCGUGUUGGCCAGGCUGGUCUCGAACUCCUGACCUCAAGUGAUCCUCCCGCCUCGGCCUUCCAAAGUGCUGAGGUUACAGCCGUGAUCCACCGCACCUGGCCUCUCCCUGGG